GAUGAACGCUGGCGGCGUGCCUAACACAUGCAAGUCGAACGGGAACCCUUGGAUUCGUCUGAGGGGGAGAGUGGCGAACGGGUGAGUAACACGUAGGUGACCUGCCCCGAAGAGGGGAAUAACCACUGGAAACGGUGGCUAAUACCCCAUGUGCUCGGUGGUUCGUUCCAUCGAGGAAAGCUCCGGCGCUUUGGGAGGGGCCUGCGGCCCAUCAGGUAGUUGGUAGGGUAAUGGCCUACCAAGCCGAUGACGGGUAGGGGGCGUGAGAGCGUGAUCCCCCACACUGGCACUGAGACACGGGCCAGACUCCUACGGGAGGCAGCAGUGAGGAAUAUUGCCCAAUGGACGCAAGUCUGAGGCAGCAACGCCGCGUGGGCGAUGAAGGCCUUCGGGUUGUAAAGCCCUUUUCUGGGGGACGAGAAAGGACGGUACCUCAGGAAUAAGUCACGGCUAACUACGUG
rnacentral:rRNA from 1 species